UUGCUUCUGACUCAGGGCUUCUCUCAGCCUCUCCUUGCAUGCUCCCCACCCUCUUCUCCCAAGCUGUCUGGGAUAAAAUCCUGCCAUUUAGUGUCAGUUCGAACUUGGAGCUGACUUCUUUGUCCCUCAGUUUGGUUUUCCCACCUGGAGCGAGAGGAUCCCAAUUGUCCUAGUGUAAACAGACUGCUCUGAGAAUUACAAAGGACACCGCACACUUUUUUCUUCCCUUUUGAAGAGGGUUCUCUCUGUGCGGCCUGGGAGGGAUGCCGACUGGUGAUCCACCUGCCUCAGCUUUAGGAGUGCUGGAGCCCUGGUGUCCGUCAAAGGGAUGUGUGCUGCUGUAAACUCCUGCCUGCUGCCCUGCUUUACCACCACGAUGGGCUGUAUCUCCUCAAAACACACUCGGUACCCCCUUGCAGUCUCCAUGGAUGCUGUCAGAAUCCUGUCUAGUAGCCUGACGGAUAGGAUCUAGCAGCCCUCCGGAGGUGUCCACUGUGUAUCCGUGACAUCAGAUUGCUUCGAGGAAUAAGACGAAAG